AUGUUUAUUUUAAAAAAGCCCACUAUUUUCUUCCUUCUAUUACAUGAAACAAACUUCCACAAGGCUGGAACAUACCUUUGUCUUCUUGAGAAAUUUUUCCCAGAUGUUAUUGAGAUACGUUGUAGAAAGAACAGCAACAAGGUUCACAGGAAAUCCCAAGAACACCAUGAAGACUAGCGACACAUGCAUGAGAAUUUAGCUGGUUAACGAGUGCCAGAAAGUCACUGGAUAAAGAAACUGGAUGUAUAAAUCAGACACGAGAAUAAUGAGAAAUGGAGUUGAUCAAGAGAAAUUAUCGACACGAGAAUAAUAGAAAUGGAGUUGAUCAAGAAAUUAUCUUUCCUCCAAUAAAGACAGAUGUCACCACAGUGGAUCCCAAAGACAGUUAUUCAAAAGAUGCAAAUGAUGUCACCACAGUGGAUCCCAAAGGCAAUUAUUCAGAAGUUGCAAAUGAUGUCACCACAGUGGAUCCCAAAGACAAUUAUUCAGGAGAUGCAAAUGAUGCACUACUGCUGCAGCUCACAAACACCUCUGCAUAUUACAUGUACCUCCUCCUGCUCGUCAAGAGUGAGGUCUAUUUUGCCAUCAUUGCUGUCUGUCUGCUUAGAAGAACGGCUGUUUGCUGCAAUGGAGAGAGACCAUAACAGACGGUGGCACAAGGACGCCAUCUUUUCCUCAUCAGUUAUUGUCCCUAGAAGUGUCUUCUGAGGAUCUAAUUGGGCUUUCUUUCUGGGUUUGGGCUAUUUCCGUUUUCAUGUGUGUACUAUUCUAUCAUUGUUGUAAAAUGUUUUCAAACCACUGGGCGCACGGACAACCUCACUCUGUGAUGACAAUGAAGAAUAGCCAUGGCGGUCUCCAGCACCACUCUCUCCAUAUUCUCCACAGCUCCUCCAGCCAACCCAAAUAGCCACUGCCAUAGUGUAGACAGCCUGUGGCUUCUAGCCUUGUCCCUCCCUUAGUGUUCUUUAAUCAGGUAACUGCCUGGAAGCCUUUCAUUUUACACACCCUGAAGCAGCCUUCUUUGCUAGUUGAAUUAUGUGGUGUAUUUUUCCUAAUAGGCAAAAUAAAUUUAAAACAAUGAAAAGUUGAC